CUUGUACUCCCUCCGUCCAAAAAUACUUUUCAUUGAAAUGGAUGUAUCUAGACGUAUUUUAGUUGUAGACGCAUCCAUUUUGAUGACAAGUAAUUCCGGAUGGAGGGAGUACUUG
rfam:Triticum aestivum genome assembly, contig: Triticum_aestivum_CS42_TGACv1_scaffold_109198_2AL